UACGUAGGGUGCAAGCGUUUAAUCGGAAUUACUGGGCGUAAAGCGUGCGCAGGCGGUUUUGUAAGACAGGUGUGAAAUCCCCGGGCUUAACCUGGGAACUGCAUUUGUGACUGCAAGGCUGGAGUGCGGCAGAGGGGGGAUGGAAUUCCGCGUGUAGCAGUGAAAUGCGUAGAUAUGCGGAGGAACACCGAUGGCGAAGGCAAUCCCCUGGGCCUGCACUGACGCUCAUGCACGAAAGCGUGGGGAGCAAACAGG
rnacentral:rRNA from 1 species